AACUGACGCUGAGGCACGAAGGCGUGGGGAUCGAACAGGAUUAGAUACCCUGGCUAGUCCACGCAGUAACGAUGGGGACUUGUUGCCGGCGACAGGCUGUCGGUGACAAAGCGAAAGCGAUAAAGUCCCCCACGGGGGAGUACGAUCGCAAGGUUGAAACUCAAAGGAAUUGACGGGGGCCCGCACAAGCGGAGGAGCAUGUGGUUUAAUUCGAUGAUACGCGAGGAACCUUACCCGGACUCAAAUGCAGAAGGAACGGUCCAGAGAUGGGCCGGCCCUUAGGGGCCGUCUGCAAGGUGCUGCAUGGUUGUCGUCAGCUCGUGCCGUGAGGUGUCAGGUUAAGUCCUAUAACGAGCGCAACCCCUACGUCCAGUUGCCAGCGGGUGAAGCCGGGGACUCUGGAGGGACUGCCGGCGCAAGCCGAGAGGAAGGUGGGGAUGACGUCAAAUCAGCACGGCCCUUACGUCCGGGGCGACACACGUGCUACAAUGGCCGGUACAGAGGGCAGCCACCCCGCGAGGGGGGGCGAAUCUCGAAAGCCGGUCUCAGUUCGGAUCGGAGUCUGCAACCCGACUCCGGAAGUUGGGUUCGCUAGUAAUC
rnacentral:rRNA from 1 species